rnacentral:rRNA from 1 species
CAAAGUGAUCGGGAAUCAGAUCAAAUUUACUUCGGUCAGACCAGUGACUUAAGACGACGUCUCUCGGAGCAUAAUUCUGGCAAGGAUACUUAUACCAAGAUAUAUGCGCCAUGGAAGGUUGUCUAUUAUGAAGCCUAUUCAUCACGUAAGCUAGCAAUGGCUCGUGAGAGGCAGUUGAAAGCUUAUGGACAAGCUAGGACUGCUCUGAAGAAGAGACUAAAUUUGAUCUGAUACUCGAUUUCAAAGGUGCUGGGUGACGGCGUGCUUUUUGUAGAACGAUCCAGCGAGUUAAUUUUUACGGCGAGGUUAAGUCAGAUGAUGAAGCCAUAGUGAAAGCGAGCAUUAACAGUGCGAUUUAGUCGUAAGGAUUAGACCCGAAACCAGGUGACCUAACCAUGAGCAGGUUGAAGCAACCUUAAUCGGUUGUGGAGGACCGAACCAGUGUAUAUUGCAAAAUGCUUGGAUGACUUGUGGUUAGCGGUGAAAUGCCAAUCGAACUUGGAGAUAGCUGGUUCUCCGCGAAAUAGUUAUAGGACUAGCGUCGUGUGAUAGCUUACGGGGGUAGAGCUCUGUCAAGAGAUAGGGGGAGCAAUCCUACCUACUCUUAAUAAACUACGAAUACCGUAUGUCUGUAUCACGGCAGUUAGAACGUCGGUGCUAAGAUCGGCGCUCAAAAGGGAAACAGCCCAGACCAUCAUCUAAGGUCCCCAAAUUUACGCUAAGUGGGAAACAAGGUGGAAUUUCUUAAACAGCUAGGAUGUUGGCUUAGAAGCAGCCAUUCAUUUAAAGAGUGCGUAACAGCUCACUAGUCAAGAGAUUUUGCGUGGAAAAUGUAACGGGGCUAAAGUGUUAAACCGAAGACAUGGACUUCAUAUUUUAUGGAGUGGUAGAGGAGCGUUGAUAUCGCAGUGAAGUCAGAUUGUAAAGUCUGGUGGAGCGUUAUCAAGUGAGAAUGCUGGAAUCAGUAACCUUAAGACAGGUGAGAAUCCUGUCGGUCGUAAGAGCAAGGUUUCCAGGGCUACAGUAAUUGUCCCUGGGUUAGUCGGUCCUAAGCCGAGGCGCAUCAGCGUAGGCGAUGGACAACAGGUUAAUAUUCCUGUACAGGUAGUAGUUGUUAACAGUUCACGGUGAGUGACCAGAGCGGAUUAAUGGUUUAUCCGUCCAAGGUUUCAAGGAAUUGAAACUGAGUGAAAGAUAUUCUUCGGAAUAUUGAUUCUGGGUACAACGCUGGCUAGAAAAGCUGGUUAACUUAUGCUGCUGCCUACCGUACCGCAAACCAACACCGGUGCUCGGGUCGAGUAGACCAAGACCUACGUGAGAACCUUCGCUAAGGAACUCGGCAAAAAAGCGUCCGUAACUUCGGAAUAAGGGCUGCCCUCUCAUUAAGAUGAGGAUUUGCUAGAAACUUGGUGGAAACAUAAGGUUAAUAGUAUUUACCUAAUAAUUUAACCAAAUUUUUCGUCAAGACAGAACACAUCAGGAAAUAUCCUGUGAUAUCUUUUCUAGUAACUCAAUCGUCAUUUUGAUGAGAGGGUCGCAGCUAAAGAGCCCACGGAACUGUUUAACAAAAACAUAGGUCUCUGCUAACGCGAAAGCGGAUGUAUAGGGGCUGACUCCUGCCCGGUGUCGGAAGGUUAAGGGGAGAGCUUUACGGUUCGAACUGAAGCCCCGAUGAACGGCGGCGAUAACUAUGAUCGUCCUAAGGUAGCGAAAUUCCUUGUCUGGUAAGUUCAGACCCGCACGAAUGGAGUAAUCAUGUGGGCACUGUCUCGGCGAAGGCCACGGUGAACGUGCAUUGGCGGUAAAGAUGCCGUCUGAUCAUGCCAGGACGAGAAGACCCCAUGGAGCUUUACUACAACUUUGCAUUGAUUAUUGGGACAUUUUGUGUAGAAUAGGUGGAAGACUUUGAAGCAGAUACGCUAGUAUUUGUGGAGUCGAAAUGUGAAAUACCACCCUGAAUGUUUUAGUAAUCUCACUUUUGACCUUAUCGGCCAAGAGGACCGUGCAUGGCGGGUAGUUUAACUGGGGCGGUUGCCUCCUAAAGAGUAGCGGAGGCGUUCAAAGGU